rnacentral:rRNA from 1 species
GACGAACGCUGGCGGCGUGCUUAACACAUGCAAGUCGAACGGAAAGGCCCCAGCUUGCUGGGGUACUCGAGUGGCGAACGGGUGAGUAACACGUGGGUGAUCUGCCCUGCACUCUGGGAUAAGCCUGGGAAACUGGGUCUAAUACCGGAUAGGACCGUGCUUUAGUGUGUGCGGUGGAAAGUUUUUCGGUGCAGGAUGAGCCCGCGGCCUAUCAGCUUGUUGGUGGGGUAAUGGCCUACCAAGGCGGCGACGGGUAGCCGGCCUGAGAGGGUGUACGGCCACAUUGGGACUGAGUCACGGCCCAGACUCCUACGGGAGGCAGCAGUGGGGAAUAUUGCACAAUGGGCGCAAGCCUGAUGCAGCGACGCCGCGUGGGGGAUGACGGCCUUCGGGUUGUAAACCCCUUUCGGCAGGGACGAAGCUUUUGUGACGGUACCUGCAUAAGAAGCACCGGCUAACUACGUG